rnacentral:rRNA from 1 species
AGGGCAGAUGGCGGAUGCCUAGGCUCUUGGAGGCGAAGAAGGACGUGAUAAGCUGCGAUAAGCUGCGGGGAUUGGCACAUACGAAUUGAUCCGCAGAUUUCCGAAUGGGGCAACCCACUAGACAGAAGGUCUAGUAUCUCGUAAGAGAGGUCAACGGGGGGAACUGAAACAUCUCAGUACCCUCAGGAAAAGAAAACAAAAGUGAUUCCCUUAGUAGUGGCGAGCGAACGGGGAUUAGCCCAAACCGCAGAUGUUUCGGCAUCUACGGGGUUGUAGGAGUAGCAGUAAUGUACUAUACACGUGUAGAAGAACGGCAUGGAAAGGUCGACCAAAGAGGGUGAUAGUCCCGUAUUUGAAAUGCGUUUGUAGACAGAGCUACCACCUGAGUAGCGCGGGACACGAGAAAUCCUGUGUGAAUCUGCGGGGCCCAUCCCGUAAGGCUAAAUACUUCCAAGAGACCGAUAGUGAACAAGUACCGUGAGGGAAAGGUGAAAAGAACCUCGAUAAGAGGAGUGCAAUAGACCCUGAAACCAUCUGCUUACAAGCGGUAGGAGCCCCUUCGUGGGGUGACUGCGUGCCUUUUGCAUAAUGAACCUACGAGUUACCGUUGCCGGCAAGGUUAAGUACAGGUAAGUACGGAACCGGAGCGAAAGCGAGUCUGAAUAGGGCGACGAGUCGGUAGAGGUAGACGCGAAACCAAGUGAUCUACCCUUGGUCAGGUUGAAGGAUAGGUAACACUAUCUGGAGGACCCAACCGGUAAGCGUUGAAAAGCUUUCGGAUGAACUGAGGGUAGGGGUGAAAGGCUAAUCAAACUUGGAGAUAGCUCGUACUCCCCGAAAUGCAUUUAGGUGCAGCCUUUGGUGUUUCUUGUAUGAGGUAGAGCGACUGAUUGGAUGCGAGGCUUUCACCGGCUAUCAAGUCCAGACAAACUCCGAAUGCGUACAAGUUAAAGCCAAGGAGUGAGGGCAUGGGUGCUAAGGUCCAUGUCCUAAAGGAGAACAAUCCGGACCAUCGGCUAAGGUCCCGAAAUCACCACUAAGUUGGACAAACGAAGUCAAGAUGCGAAGACAGCUAGGAUGUUGGCUUGGAAGCAGCCAUUCAUUUAAAGAGUGCGUAACAGCUCACUAGUCGAGGAUUUUGGCGUGGAUAAUAAUCGGGCAUAAGUGGUGUACCGAAGCUGUGGGAUGUGAAUACAUCGGUAGGGGAGCAUUCCUAUUGAGCAGAAGAUACAGGAGCAACCUGUGUUGGAUCGAUAGGAAAAGCAAAUGUAGGUAUAAGUAACGAUAAAGGGGGCGAGAAACCCCCUCGCCGAAAGACUAAGGUUUCCUGAUCAACGCUAAUCGGAUCAGGGUUAGUCGGGGCCUAAGGAUAAGCCUAAUGGCGAUUCCGAUGGAAGAACUGGUUAAUAUUCCAGUACUAAUAUAUUGAGUGAUGUGGAGACGGAGAAGUGACACUACUGCCGACUGACGGAAUAGUUGGUUGAAGGGUGUAGAUAAUUGGUUUGUAGGCAAAUCCGCAGACCGAGUCGAACCUGAGAGUACACUGCGUGCGUGCACAAAGUGAUAAUGUAGGUAAGCCAGCUCCCAAGAAAACCCGCUAAACAAUUGAUAUAUUACCCGUACCACAAACCGACACAGGUGGUUGGGUUGAGUAUACUAAGGCGCUCGAGAGAUUCGCGGUUAAGGAACUAGGCAAAAUGGUCCUGUAACUUCGGGAGAUUGAAUUGAAGCCCCAGUAAACGGCGGCCGUAACUAUAACGGUCCUAAGGUAGCGAAAUUCCUUGUCGGGUAAGUUCCGACCUGCACGAAUGGUGUAACGAUGUGGGCACUGUCUCAACCGCGAUCUCGGUGAAAUUGUAGUAUCGGUGAAGAUGCCGAUUACCCGCAACGGGACGAAGAGACCCCGUGAACCUUUACUAUAGCUUUACAUUGUACUUGGGUAUCAGAUGUGUAGGAUAGGCCGGAGACUGAGAGUGGGGCACGCCAGUGCUUCAGGAGUCGCUGUUGAAAUACGGCCCUUUUGAUGUUUGGGUACUAACUUGCUUAAGCAAGGACACUGUAUGGUGGGUAGUUUGACUGGGGUGGUCGCCUCCAAAAGCGUAACGGAGGCUUCUAAAGGUACCCUCAGGCCGAUUGGUAACCGGUCGAAGAGUGUAAUGGCACAAGGGUGCUUGACUGGGAGACAAACAAGUCGCACAGGUAGGAAACUAGAGCAUAGUGAUCCGGUGGUUCCGUAUGGAAGGGCCAUCGCUCAAAGGAUAAAAGGUACUCCGGGGAUAACAGGCUGAUCGCUCCCAAGAGCUCAUAUCGACGGAGCGGUUUGGCACCUCGAUGUCGGCUCGUCACAUCCUGGGGCUGGAGAAGGUUCCAAGGGUUGGGCUGUUCGCCCAUUAAAGUGGCACGCGAGCUGGGUUCAGAACGUCGUGAGACAGUUCGGUCUCUAUCUGUUGUGGGCGUAGAGAUUUGCAGGGCUCUGACACUAGUACGAGAGGACCGUGUUGGACCGACCGCUGGUCUAUCGGUUAUGCCGCCAGGUGUAAUGCCGAGUAGCUAAGUCGGGCUAGGAUAAGUGCUGAAAGCAUCUAAGCACGAAGCCGACCCUAAGAUAAGAUCUCAUUGA